UCACACAUACACAUGUAAAAUGAUAUUAUUAAUUAAUUACCUAUGGUGUAUUUCUUUGUAAACAUUUUGUGUCAAUUCAAUGCGUACAAGUUUUUUUUUUUUUCGUUACUUAUUUAUUAUAUUUUAUAAUAUAUUAUUGUGUUAUUUAUGAUACGUACCUAUUAUAAAAAAAAAAAAUAAAAAUAAAAAAAAAUGCCCAUUAAUACUUGAAAACAACAAUAAACAAAAAUACGAUGAUCGCGAAAACCUCUUCAACGGUCGAUAGGAUGUAAACAUAUGUCAAUUUAAAUAUAUAAUAUGGAAGUUGAAUGUAAUUUUCUGUUUUUCGCUCACGAUUUUAAUUUUUAAUUUUUUCAAUCAUUAUUUCAACAAAUAAAUCACAUUAUUACUUUACCACUUGUUAAAAAAAAAAAAAAAAUUAAAAUAAAAAACGAAUGAUAAAUAUCGAACGGAUCGCCGAAUAAAAAAAAAAGGUCUGUUGGACUCUAUAAUAAUAUAAUAUUAUAUACAUAAUAUACCUACACACUAUUUUGUUCGUGUAGUCUACUUUAUGUAAAUAUUUUUAUACUUUUUUAUAUAUUAUUAUUAUUAUCAAACAAACAUAAACUAUCUAUUAUUAUUAUUAUUAUUAUAACAUUAUAUACGUGUAUUACUAUUUUUUAUGUAUUAAAUAAUAUUAUAUUAUUUAUGUAGGUUCGUAGAGUUAUUAUUAUUAUUAUUAUUAUUACUAUAUAUAUGAAUAAAGUGUUUCUCCUAGAAUAGCAAUACCUAGUACCUAUAUCGUUUAACAUAUUAUUAUUAUUAUUAUUAUUAUUGUUACUGUCUGAACAAUAUAUUUUUUUUUCGUUUUUUUUUUUUUACAAGAUGUGAAAAAAAAAAUUCAAAUUUGUCGUCGUUCGUCGCGUACCUGAAUACCUAUACACAUACCUACCUAUACUUACAUGCGUAUACAUUAUACGCCGCGUUAUCGAAAAAAAACUACACGUACCUCCUAUACACGAACGUUUUCCGAACACGUUAAUUAUUUAUUAUACUCUUAUAAUAACGACGACGACGACGACGAUGAUACUAACGAUAAUAAUACACGUAAACAUACGUAUAAUGCGUAUUGUAUGAUAUAUAGGAUAUAUAGGUAUAUGUACGUAUAUACUAUAGCUAUUGGUAUUGUAUACUAAAAAAAAAAAAAAAAAAAAAAAAAAAAAAAAAAAAAAAAAAAGGAGCAAUGCGCGUACGUCGAUGAGGUUUGUUGAAAAUACAUCGAGUACAUUUAUUAUUAUUAUUAUUAUUAUAUUGUAAUAUUCUAGUUAUCAUUUAUACACAAAAACGAUAGCGUUUUGUUUGUAACGCGGUGUUUUAUGUUUAUCGGAGCUUGUGAAAACACAAUAAUAAUAUUGUAAAACACACGAAAUACCGUACUAUACUCUACAUAUCUUGGUUACACCAAUGUGUGUGUAUUAUAGUAGACGUUUUUUUUUUUUUUUUUUUUUUUUUUUGUAUUUUUUCUAUUACAUAUUUUAAAUUCGUAUUAGACUUAUUUUUACUAAGACAUUAGGUUUAAAAAUUAAGCGCAUCGUUAGUAUUUAAGCGCACGUGUACGCUAGUGCAUUUCAUAUAAUAUUGUAAUAAUCAUUAUUUGUAUAACGAAAAAAAAAAAAAAAAAAGAGGGAAUAUUAUAAAUUUAUUACGUAGACUUAAACAAAAACAAUAUUCAUGUGUUGUAAUUAAUUUAUAGGUGCCACACAACUGUUUUAUUAUGAUAUUGUAUAACCGUUGUUUUUGUUAGGACAAUCGUCAUUUUUUUUGUAUCCUUCAAACAACUCUUUUCUUGUCCGCGUGGAAGUAUCUAAACUGGGUGUUGUUCAGGAAAACCAACGUAAUAAUAUGUAAUAACAAUAAAAAAUCGAAAAUUAUUACUGAAGUCGAUGCACAAAAACGAAAUACAUACAGAUAUAAUAAUAUAUUAUUAAUAAAAUAAACGGUAUGAUAUUUUAAAAUCAACACUGAAUGUUUUACAUCAAAACGCACGUUUUGUAGACACUGUAAUAAUAUGGUAGCGCCAAGAAAAAUAAAAUUAAGAAUUUUUUAAAUGUUAAAAAAAAAAGUACUUGAACAAAGACUGAUGAUGUUGUUUUGGCAAAAAGUCUAUUUUUUCAUUAAAACUAUUUGAGAAUUGUAUAAAAGGAGUUAAAUAAUCGGUAUUUGCUUAUACUAGUGCUCAGAUAAUAUUUGAACAUUUUUGUUGUUGUUGAUUAAAAUAUAAAAUAUAAAAAAUAUUAAGUUAAUGCAAAAACGUUUUACUACUUGUAUAAAAAAAAAAAAAAAAAACUAAAUGGGGUUGAAUGCUAAUUAAGGACCAACUGUUUUCUUGAAUACCUAUUUUUACUUCUCUGUGUUGUAUAAUAGGAGACCAUAUCUAUUAUUAUAUAGUUAUUAACUUAAUAAUCAUACAGUUUUAUGAAUAAUCGCUUUAUAUUGUAUCGUUGGUGAUUUUUUUGUUUUUUUUUUUUUUUUAAGUACCUACCAAUAAACUUUCGAAAACGAUUUCGGAUUGUUAUAGUUGGUGUACCUUAAAUCAUGAAGUACAAUAGUAAGAUAUCAACAGCCGCCGUUCACGGCUCAAAAAAAUAUAUAGGUAGUAAAACUGAUCUUAUCCGAACAAUUUACUAUAGGUAACAAAAAAAAAAAAAAAAACACAAUAACAUUUGUUUAAAUUAAAAUAUUAAUUAUUUAUAUUAUUAUUAUUAUUAUGUUGUGUGAUUAGUCUUUAUAGUUCAUGUAAUCAUACAUUAAUUAUAAGCGACUUUUUAUCAAUAAUAUUUUCGUUUGUAUGCAUGUAAUUAAUUUUUAAACAAAAAGUUGUGUUGAAAAUAAAAAUGUAAAAAAA